rnacentral:rRNA from 1 species
UUUGGACAAUGGGGGCAACCCUGAUCCAGCCAUCCCGCGUGUGCGAUGAAGGCCUUCGGGUUGUAAAGCACUUUUGGCAGGGAAGAAAAGCCGCGGGUUAUUACCCUGCGGUGCGGACGGUACCUGCGGAAUAAGCACCGGCUAACUACGUGCAAGCAGCCGCGGUAAUACGUAGGGUGAAAGCGUUAAUCGGAAUUACUGGGCGUAAAGCGUGCGCAGGCGGUUCGACAAGAAGGAUGUGAAAUCCCGGGGCUUAACCUCGGAACUGCAUUCUUAACUGCCGGGCUAGAGUAUGUCAGAGGGGGGUAGAAUUCCGCGUGUAGCAGUGAAAUGCGUGGAGAUGCGGAGGAAUACCGAUGGCGAAGGCAGCCCCCUGGGAUAAUACUGACGCUCAUGCACGAAAGCGUGGGGAGCAAAC